rnacentral:rRNA from 1 species
CCAACAGGUAUUGCCUCAGUAACGGCGAGUGAAGCGGCAACAGCUCAAAUUUGAAAUCUGGCCCCAGGCCCGAGUUGUAAUUUGCAGAGGAUGCUUCUGGCAAGGUGCCUUCCAAGUCCCCUGGAACGGGGCGCCGAAGAGGGUGAGAGCCCCGUCCGGUCGGCCACCAAGCCUGUGUGAAGCUCCUUCGACGAGUCGAGUAGUUUGGGAAUGCUGCUCUAAACGGGAGGUAGACCCCUUCUAAAGCUAAAUACCGGCCAGAGACCGAUAGCGCACAAGUAGAGUGAUCGAAAGAUGAAAAGCACUUUGAAAAGAGGGUUAAAAAGUACGUGAAAUUGUUGAAAGGGAAGCGCUUGUGACCAGACGUGUGCCGGGGUGCUCAGCGGGCGUUCUCGCCCGUGCACUCGCCCCGGUACAGGCCAGCGUCGGUUCGCGCGGGGGGACAAAGGCGCCGGGAACGUAGCUCCUCCGGGAGUGUUAUAGCCCGGCGUGCCAUGCCCCCGCGCGGACCGAGGUUCGCGCUCCGCAAGGACGCUGGCGUAAUGGUCUCCAGCGGCCCGUCUUGAAACACGGACCAAGGAGUCGAGGUUUUGCGCGAGUGUUUGGGUGUCAAACCCGCACGCGUAAUGAAAGUGAACGCAGGUGGGAGCUUCGGCGCACCACCGACCGAUCCUGAUGUUCUCGGAUGGAUUUGAGUAGGAGCGUAGGGCCUCGGACCCGAAAGAUGGUGAACUAUACGUGGAUAGGGUGAAGCCAGAGGAAACUCUGGUGGAGGCUCGCAGCGGUUCUGACGUGCAAAUCGAUCGUCAAAUCUGCGUAUGGGGGCGAAAGACUAAUCGAACCAU